UACGGGGGGAGCAAGCGUUGUUCGGAUUCAUUGGGCGUAAAGGGCGCGUAGGCGGCUUGGCAAGUCCGUCAUGAAAUGUACCGGUUCAACCGGGGCACUGCGUCGGAAACUGCCUGGCUUGAGGUCGAGGGAGGAGAGUGGAAUUCCUGGUGUAGCGGUGAAAUGCGUAGAUAUCAGGAGGAACACCGGUGGCGAAGGCGGCAUCCUGGACCGGCAUUGACGCUGAGGCGCGAAAGCCAGGGGAGCAAACGGG
rnacentral:rRNA from 1 species